rnacentral:lncRNA from 1 species
AUAUAGAGUCUCACUCUGUGGUCCAGGCUGAAGUACAGUGGCAUGAUCCCAGGUCACUGCAACCCCCACCUCCCGGGUUCAAGUGAUCCUCCUGCCUCAGCCUCCCGAGUAGCUGGUAUUACAGGCGUGUGCCACAAAGCCUGGCUAAGUUUUGUAUUUUUAGUAGAGACGGGGUUUCACCAUGUUGGCCAGGUUGGUCUCGAACUCCUGACCUCAAGUGAUCCACUCACUUUGGCCUUUCAACGUGCUGGGAUUACAGGCGAGAGUCACCGCACCCGGACGACUCUGACAUUUUUGAAGAGUCCAGAAUCCUGUUACACCUGGGAUUUAGGCACUUUCAAUCUGAAAAAAUACAUAUCCUUUCAGCACUCUGGACGGACUUGAGAACUGUCCUUACGUGACCUAAAGCUGGAGUAUUUUGAGAUUGGAGAAUUAAGGCCAACAGAGAUUUUGAGAAACACAUUGAAGGAUCUGUUAACACUUGAUAUACCCAAUAAAAGCAGUGGUUGUGCCAGUGCUGAUCUGUCUUGAUGUGAAUGUGAACAAUGGGAACCUGAGCUGAGCAGUUAAUGCUAGGGUGACAGAAACUGGACCUCUCCCAAGACAUGUGACAGAGUAAUACAGCAGCCAACUUCUUCGCCAAAUUAAAGUUUUACAAGAUUUAACCUGUCAUCAAGACCUGGGAUUUUGGUGAAGGACAGAAUAACGGGCUCCCAGAUUCACAAGCCCCACCAAGAGGAUCACCCCAGGAACGCUUGGAGGCUGAGGAGUUCACUGAGGCUACUGCAUCUUGAGACUCAGGAUGAAGACCCAGCUUGGGGCUGUCAAAGGUUUUUUGCAUGUCUGACACCCAUGACUCCACCUGGACCUUAUGGCUCCACCCAGAAGCAAUUCAGCCCAACAGGAGGACAGCUUCAACCCAUUACGAUUUCAUCUCUGCCCCAACCACUCAGCAGCAAGCACCUGUUACCUGUCCACCCCCACCCCUUCCCCCAAACUGCCUUUGAAAAAUCCCUAACCUAUGAGCUUUGAAUAAGAUGAGUACGAACUUCAUCGCCCACGUGGCGUGGCCGGCCUCGUGUCUAUUAAAUUCUUUUUCUACUACAAUGCCGU